GGGCGCAUAGCUCAGUUGGUUAGAGCGCGUGCUUCACACGCACGAGGUCGGGGGUUCGAAUCCCUCUGCGCCCACCA
rnacentral:tRNA from 1 species